CACGUAGGGUGCGAGCGUUGUCCGGAAUUAUUGGGCGUAAAGAGCUCGUAGGCGGCCUGUUGCGUCCGCUGUGAAAUCCCGGGGGCUUAACCCCGGGCUUGCAGUGGAUACGGGCAGGCUGGAGGCAGGCAGGGGGAGAACGGAAUUCCCGGUGUAGCGGUGAAAAUGCGCAGAUAUCGGGAGGAACACCGGUGGCGAAGGCGGUUCUCUGGGCCUGUAC
rnacentral:rRNA from 1 species